rnacentral:rRNA from 1 species
UCAGACGAUGCGUCAUGCAUAUCAAUAAGCGGAGGAAAAGAAACUAACAAGGAUUCCCUCAGUAACGGCGAGUGAAGCGGGAAGAGCUCAAAUUUGAAAUCUUGAAAGGUCACCUUUCACGAAUUGUAGUUUAAAGAAGUGUUUUCUGUUACGAUCGUAAUAUAAGUUCUUUGGAAUAGGACAUCACAGAGGGUGAGAAUCCCGUCUGUGAUUGCGAUUUGUAGCUUUGUGAUACACUUUCAAAGAGUCGGGUUGUUUGGGAAUGCAGCCCAAAACGGGAGGUAAAUUUCUUCUAAGGCUAAAUAUUGGCGAGAGACCGAUAGCGAACAAGUACCGUGAGGGAAAGAUGAAAAGAACUUUGAAAAGAGAGUUAAAUAGUACGUGAAAUUGUCAAAAGGGAAGCGUUUAACACCAGUGUUGUUUUCUGAAAAUCAACCUCUGUUAGCUUUAUGCAUGUUUGUUUAGACCUAAUCAGCUAUCUUGCAUGUUCUAUUGUUUGCAGUGGUGCACUUUUCAGUUUACAGGUCAACAUCAGUUUUUUUUACCGUAAAAAAGUUAAAGAAAGGUAGCUCAUGGCUCCGGUCGUGAGUGUUAUAGUCUUUUUUCCACUAUGCGGUAGGAGAGACUGAGGUCUGCAGUGUAGGCUAUUUGGCUAGAUACUCAGGUGCUAUGUGAUACCAUUUCAUAAACAACUUGUUGAUUAUGUUUUGUCUAUUGCAUACUCGCUUGUACUAUCAUACCUACGCUUAGGAUGUUGAAGACUCUACAGAGAUA